GAUCCAUAAGCUCCUGGCAAUGUCACCCGGCGGCCGCCAUAGUCACCUGUCACGUGACCUCGGCAGCGGUAACCCAUAGCAACCGGCGCACUUUUGCUAAUGGGUUAUCAUGAGGUCUCUAAUACUGUUCAUACAUCGUACAUAGCAUCAGUAUAAUUGAAGAAGACUCCAUGAUGAUAGUGGAGGCAGGUGAGGAGACCCCCGUCCGCCAUCUUGGCUCAUCUGAUCCCCUCAGUUGUGCGUGUGCCACAGGUGCUACAUGUCACCACGACGGGAGAGCUGGACAUAGGAAAAUGAGAGGGAUGGAAAGCUGGAGCUUCUCUCAAUAAAAACAGUGGUGAUUAUCAAUGGAUCCGACCUCUGCUCCUUACCCGGAACGUUCUCACAGUCAGGAAGCAGCCGCCCGUGUUUUCUGACC